rnacentral:tRNA from 1 species
GCCUGGGUAGCUCAGUUGGUUAAGCAUCUGACUUUGGCUCAGGUCAUGAUCUUGGGGUUUGUGAGUUAGAGUCCCACAUCAGGCU